UACGUAGGGAGCAAGCGUUGUCCGGAAUCAUUGGGCGUAAAGCGCGCGUAGGUGGCCUCAUAAGUCCGCUGUGAAAGUCAAAGGCUCAACCUUUGAAAGCCGGUGGAUACUGUGGGGCUAGAGUACGGAAGAGGCGAGCGGAAUUCCUGGUGUAGCGGUGGAAUGCGCAGAUAUCAGGAGGAACACCAAUAGCGAAGGCAGCUCGCUGGGACGUUACUGACACUGAGGCGCGAAAGCGUGGGGAGCGAACAGG
rnacentral:rRNA from 1 species